rnacentral:rRNA from 1 species
GCACAGGUGCUGCAUGGCUGUCGUCAGCUCGUGUCGUGAGAUGUUCGGUUAAGUCCGCUAACGAGCGCAACCCUCGCUGUGUGUUAUAUGUGUCACACGGGACUGCCGGUCUUAAGCCGGAGGAAGGUGGGGAUGAUGUCAAGUCAGCAUGGCCUUUAUAUCCUGGGCUACACACACGCUACAAUGGCCAGCACAGUAGGUUGCUAAGCCGCGAGGUGGAGCCAAUCCAUAAAGCUGGUCUCAGUUCAGAUUGCAGGCUGCAACCCGCCUGCAUGAAGAUGGAGUUGCUAGUAACCGCAGGUCAGCUAUACUGCGGUGAAUACGUUCCCGGGGCUU